rnacentral:rRNA from 1 species
UGCAAGUCGUACGCUUCUUUUUCCACCGGAGCUUGCUCCACCGGAAAAAGAAGAGUGGCGAACGGGUGAGUAACACGUGGGUAACCUGCCCAUCAGAAGGGGAUAACACUUGGAAACAGGUGCUAAUACCGUAUAACAAUCGAAACCGCAUGGUUUUGAUUUGAAAGGCGCUUUCGGGUGUCGCUGAUGGAUGGACCCGCGGUGCAUUAGCUAGUUGGUGAGGUAACGGCUCACCAAGGCCACGAUGCAUAGCCGACCUGAGAGGGUGAUCGGCCACAUUGGGACUGAGACACGGCCCAAACUCCUACGGGAGGCAGCAGUAGGGAAUCUUCGGCAAUGGACGAAAGUCUGACCGAGCAACGCCGCGUGAGUGAAGAAGGUUUUCGGAUCGUAAAACUCUGUUGUUAGAGAAGAACAAGGAUGAGAGUAACUGUUCAUCCCUUGACGGUAUCUAACCAGAAAGCCACGGCUAACUACGUGCC